rnacentral:lncRNA from 1 species
CAAUACCAAACGCAACCGGCAAAAUUUCUUCCCUCCGCCACCGCCCCCACCGUUUUCUCUCGGCUCAGUAUCGAGCUCCAAAUAAACGCAUCCCUCAACCAAAAUUUUACCCCCCAAAAAAAACUCUUCUCUCUUUCGCUCGUCUCCUCAAACGUCUCUAUUUUCCUUUAUUCUGCUCUAUUUUGAACAAAAAAAGACUUUUCUUCACUUAUUUUUCUAAUAUCUCUCACUAUCUCUCUCGAUGCCCUAGCCACCUUCCCUCACCGGAACUCCACGGGGCGCGUCGUACCGCCGGCGAUAUCUGUGGCACUAAACUUCCGGUUUGGUUUGUCUUUUUUCUAUUGGAUUCUGGAAUUAUCUUUGAAUUUGGAUUUGAUUACGCAAAAAAAUCGAAAAUGACGGCGUCGAGGAUUUGUUAGGGUUUUAAUCUUGAUGGCUGGGACUCGUAAAAGGGGAGGGAAUAAAUCAAAAGUUAAGAAUUUAAGUUUAGGAGAUCUUGUUCUUGCCAGUCAAGGGUUUCCCUGCUUGGCCUGCCAAGGUCUCUUCCUUUUUCUCUUCCCUUUUAUUUUAUUAUUAUUGUUACUUUCUUUCAUCCUGAGUUAUGGGUACUUUAUAUUUUGAUGAUUAAAUUUUUAAUUUCUUAUAUGCUUAUUUGAACUUAUAUAUUUGAAUAAAUCCAUGAUGAGUUUGGGAUUUUUUUUUUUUAAGUUUUGCAUGAUGUUGUUAAGUUUAUUUUAUGCUUACAUUGUCAUACUUUGUAUUUUAUUUGUUGCUUUUAUACUCAAUUUGUUUCCUUUAGUAAAUUUUGUUUUAUUUUGUGAAAGGCCUAUUUUUGGAGUUCAAAGUUUUGCCAUGCUUAUGUUAGCUGAUUGUGUUUUUAGUGUUUCAGGUUUGGUACUUUGCCUGUUUAUCAAUUGGGUUACUUAAUGCAACUAUGCAAGUUCUUUUUUUUUUUUUGGACUGAAAACAAGUCGGACAAAUGUGUGUUUUUUUUUUUUUUUGGCUGCAUGCUAGAUUUUUGAUCCUAGAAAGUGUCAUCAGAAAUUUAGUGAGGAAUUUUCAAUUUAUUUUUUUGUUUUUAUUAUUUUGUUACUUAGAACUCAGUUGGUUUGUUGUGAUUUUGGUUUAUGGUUGGUUUUUGAGGUAGAUUCUAUGGGCUAUAAAUUUCAGAUUAGCCGGCCUGAAGAUUGGGAGCAAGAACCUGACCAUAGGAAAUAUUUUGUCCAAUUCUUUGGAACACAAGAAAUUAAGUAUUUUUGUGUUCAAUUUGAACAUGUUUGGUGAAUGACGGAGAUGGCAACAUGAUGAAUAAAGAUAUGUGAUGUGUCUGUUUUAGGGUUUGCAUCUGUUUUCAGGUAGGAGAGAAACCACAUUUACCAUAAGAUGGAACAUGAGGUAAAUACAUGAAAGGUGUUACUGCAUAAUUUCUUUAAAAAAAUAUUAAUUUUUUUGUAUUCCAAAUAACUUGUUAUCUAUGUCAAUCCAAGCAGACAAACCUUGAUGUACACUUUUUCAUUUCCUGUCAAUGUUGUUCACAUAGGGUGCUUGCUGACUAGAGGAUACAUUGAAACUGACUUGAUUUAUUCUAUCUCUGUGCUGUCUGUAUACAUCGUUGCUUUUCUUUCCAUCCAGCUCCUGUGAUCAAGAAAUUGUAGGAUGCACAUUGUAAUAUCAACAAGGGGAAAAUUGUAAUAGGUAGGGCUCUAUGCUGAGUCCUCUAUGUGUUACAGUACUGAACCCUAGGCAGCUCUGUCAUUUAGCUUUAGGUUGCAUGAUAUAAACUCAUGGAAGCUCACCAUUCUAAUGUUCAGGGAGUACUCUUUCGCAGAUGUGAUAGUCAUGCAGAUUAUCUGGGAAUUUUAUGUCUUAUAGUUUUUUUCAUAUGAUAAUUUGAGAAAUGGUGAGAUGUCCUUUGGGUAACCGACCUUUUCAAUCUAGGAUGCAGAAAAUCAAAUAUUGAUACAAUGACAAAUGGUGCAAUAUUUUUCUACUUCUACAGGUUCUUGAUAUAGAAUGUGCAUCUUAUGUUGCCUUAAUUAAUCUUUUUUAAUGUAAUUUUAAUAUUUGAGUUAUUAUUUCUUUUGGAGUAGUGAGAGAUAUCUUUCCUCCAUUUUGUGGUUGUUGUUAGCUAACAAUGCUUAGGCUCUUAAUACAUGUGUAUUUGUGGGUUGUAGUGAAUGUUGAAGUCAUAUUGUUCAACAAAGCAAUGUGUUUAGCCUAAUUAGUAGGCAUGAUCAUUUCUUUACCACUAAAUCGUAACUGUGCUGAAUUUGAAAUUUGGUGUAGCUUUUUUGGUGUUUGAAUUGAAUGGCAUUGCAAAUUUACUUUUUUUUUUUUAUUGUUGGUGUUAAAUGGAUUUGUGGUUUAGUUAUUUUUGUAUUCUAUGUUAGAUUUAUUCUCACAUUUACAUUAACAUAGAACUUAGAAUUAUUUUUUAAAAUUUAUUGUUGAUAAUGACCAAUCUUGAUGGAGGAUUUAUUUGUAGUAUAUGGCUGUAACACAUUUAGGGUGCAAUAAUGGAUCUUUAUUUUGUGCAAUGGAACUUUUAUGUUUGUAUAAUGGAUCUUCUUGAAUGUUGAUUGGACAGUUUUUGCAGCUACAAGUAUCUUGAAAAGAAAUAAAGUUCAAACGAAUCUUGUAUAUAUUUGGAAAUAAAAAGUUUUUCAGUUUUACUAUCAUGUCAAGGUUUGCUUGAAUAAAUUACUUAAGUUGUGUCUCAGUAGCCUCCCAAAUUCUAACCAUGAAUUAGAGGAGCAUUUCUGGUUCUGGUUAUAUUCUAUAUGUUAUAGUUGAGCAGAUUGAGAUUUUAGCUGAAGUUUGUUAAGCGUCAACAUGUGGUGGUUUAGAUAUGGUAUGCUCGGAAGCCUUGAGUAAUGGUAUUUUAAAUGCCCUGAAAAUGAGUACAGGUGGAGUUUUCCUUAGAAACAUUUGCAUAAGUCAUUUAUUUAUGUGGAACCAUUGAAGUGGUUUUGGGAUAUUCGUUUUUUUGAACUUUCAUCUGUCAGGGCUUUCUUUUGGGAUUUUUUUCUCUAAAUUCUUAGACAUUUUGUUCUAUCCAUAUUGCAUAUUUAUAAUCAUGGUUAAGCUGUGAAUGCUUAAUCCUUAACCUUGGAUGUAAACUUUAUUCCCUUUUGGAUCAUAAUGACUGGACGAAGAUGCUUCUGCUCCUGAAUUAUGUAGAAGACAUUUUAGUUUGUUGAAAAUAGAAUCUGUUCUUCCUGUCUUUUGUUUAUUUUUUAAUAGUUGGUUAUAUAUUUUCCCAUAUUCCUUUAGGGCAUCAUGUUCAUGCACAUGUGAGCAAGUUGAUAAAUUUAAACAUCUGCAUCUUUUUUUUUCCCUUAAAGAUAGUGUUUAUGUAAUCAGAUUUUCAUAUUUCAUUUUUGAAGCUUUUGACUCUGCAUUUUUAGUGUAAAAAGGAGCAAUGCUUUUCAUCCCAGCGAAGAGAUGCAUGCAUGGAUCGUUAUUUUUUCUUACGCUACUCUUUGAACUUCAAUUCACUUGUGUUCUAGUUGUUUUUUUCCCACCAUGUUUUUCUUCUUUUAAAGAGCUUUUGUUGCACCUGGCAAUAUUCAAGCGUUUACCAUUGAGACAGUAAAUUGUUGGGUUAAGUAUCAAGUUGUUAAAACCAAGUACUUUGUCCAAGCUGUGAAGGAAAUCUGUGUGGCAUUUGAUGAAUUACAUAAAGAGAAGUCCAUUGGUUUGAAGAUGAAACUGAUAGAUCAACACCUGGCUGUGAGACUUCAUCUGUUGAUGGGGUUGAGGAUGACGGUGCAAGAUGCAAAAAUGCAUUUGAGAAAUCCAAAGAUGUUGAACAGCCAUUGAAAAAAAAAAAAAAAAGAAAUGAAAUGAAGUAUGGUUCUCAGGGCAUUUGAACUUAUGGAAAAGUUAGUGGGAGUGCCAACAAAAACAAGAUCCAAGGUAACUAUACAAUUGGCUGAUUUAAUGUCUUCUUCAUAUGUUGUGGCUCUCUAAUUAAAUAAUGUAAUAAUUUGUUAAUAGGGAAAAUAAUUAUUGAAAAUAAACAUCCUAAUCAUGUUAUUUACAAGGGAUGUGUAGCUGUGGAGAAUUUUAUUAUAACUGCAACAAUAGUUGGCUUCCUUAAUUUUGCCAAGAAUAUAUUGUCUGAAAAUAAGAAAUAGAUGUGUCCAUGAACUAAGAGGAGCCAAGCAUGGUUAAAACCUUGAAAUCUUUGGAUUGGUUUAAUAUUUUAAUAUUUUAAAAUAUAUUCUAAAUAAAAUAAAUUUUUUUUUUUAAUUUAUAUUAACACAAUUGACUUGAGUUGGAUUUUUUUGGUUUCAUAUGUGGUUGUGUUAUUGGAAAUAUUUUUUUUUUUGUUCUUUACAACCAUAUUGGCGACAAUAAUCAUGGUUUUCUUUAAUUGAGGGUUGCAUUUUGACCUUUCAUUACUCAAUUGUGCUUUAAGGUACAGUGAAGAUUUUUCUUUCGCAUGAAUGUGGUGAAGAUUUGGAUGAAGUUGAUUUUUGUUGCCCCAGAGAAAAUAAGUUUGUUGAUCUUUUAAAUGAGAAAAUUUUGUUUAGUUGACUGUUUAGUUAAUAUGGUUAAGGAACAAGUUGUGGAUUUGACUACUCAGAUUGUAUAGAGUGUACUUUGUUGAUUUUGUAUUUUCAACAAAGCUCUUUGUUUUCCGUCAGAACUCUAUUUUUUAUUAUUGUAUUUGCUCUGUUUAGAAGGAAGCCUUG